rnacentral:rRNA from 1 species
AGCAGCCGCGGUAAUUCCAGCUCCAAUAGCGUAUAUUAAAGUUGUUGCAGUUAAAAAGCUCGUAGUCGAAUUUCGGGGUUAGUAGGUUGGUCAUGCCUCUGGUAUGUACUGGUCUCACUGAUUCCUCCUUCCUGAUGAACCUUAAUGCCAUUUAUUUGGUGUUUUGGGGAAUUUGGACUGUUACUUUGAAAAAAUUAGAGUGUUUAAAGCAAGCUAACGCUUGAAUACAUUAGCAUGGAAUAAUGAAAUAGGACGUUCGAUCCUAUUUUGUUGGUUUCUAGGAUUGACGUAAUGAUUAAUAGGGAUAGUUGGGGGCAUUAGUAUUCAAUUGUCAGAGGUGAAAUUCUUGGAUUUAUUGAAGACUAACUACUGCGAAAGCAUUUGCCAAGGAUGUUUUCAUUAAUCAAGAACGAAAGUUAGGGGAUCGAAGACGAUCAGAUACCGUCGUAGUCUUAACCAUAAACUAUGCCGACUAGGGAUCGGAUGAUGUUAAUUUUUUAAUGACUCAUUCGGCGCCUUACG